GAGAGAGGUUGAAUACACACUGAUUACCCUACAGAGAGAGAGAGGUUGAAUACACACUGAUUACCCUACAGAGAGAGAGAGGUUGAAUACACACUGAUUACCCUACAGAGAGAGAGAGGUUGAAUACACACUGAUUACCCUACAGAGAGAGAGAGGUUGAAUACACACUGAUUACCCUACAGAGAGAGAGAGAGGUUGAAUACACACUGAUUACCCUACAGAGAGAGAGAGGUUGAAUACACACUGAUUACCCUACAGAGAGAGAGAGGUUGAAUACACACUGAUUACCCUACAGAGAGAGAGGUUGAAUACACACUGGUAAUGAGGAACAAGGUGAAGAGGUUGCUCCACAUGGUAAUGAGGAACAGAGUGAAGAGGUUGCUACACAUGGUAAUGAGGAACAGGGUGAAGAGGUUGCUACACAUGGUAAUGAGGAACAGGGUGAAGAGGUUGCUACACAUGGUAAUGAGGAACAGGGUGAAGAGGUUGCUCCACAUGGUAAUGAGGAACAGGGUGAAGAGGUUGCUACACAUGGUAAUGAGGAACAGGGUGAAGAGGUUGCUCCACAUGGUAAUGAGGAACAGAGUGAAGAGGUUGCUACACAUGGUAAUGAGGAACAGGGUGAAGAGG